rnacentral:rRNA from 1 species
AAUCUUCCGCAAUGGACGCAAGUCUGACGGAGCAACGCCGCGGGAGUGAUGAAGGUUUUCGGAUCGUAAAACUCUGUUGCUGGGGAAGAACAAGUAUCGGAGUCACUGCCGGUCCCUUGACGGUACCUGACGUGAAGGCCACGUCUAACUACGUGCGAGCAGCCGCGGUAAUACGUAGGUGGCAAGGGUUGUCCGGAUUUAUUGGGCGGUAAGCGCGCGCAGGCGGUCUUUUAAGUCUGAUGUGAAAUCUUACAGCUUAACUGUAAGCGGUCAUUGGAAACUAGGAGACUUGAGUGCAGAAGAGUAGAGUGGAAUUCCAUGUGUAGCGGUGAAAUGCGUAGAGAUAUUGAGGAACACCAGUGGCGAAGGCGACUCUCUGGUCUGUAACUGACGCUGAGGCGCGAAAGCGUGGGGAUCAAACA